GAGCUCAGCUGGUAGAGACUGAGACUCUUAUUCUCAGGGUCGUGGGUUCGAAUCUCAUGAUGAACA